GGGCUCACUCCGGCAGUACAUACGCUGAACAGGAACGAUACGGAGAAGAUUAGCGUGCCCCUGCACAAGGAUGACACGCACAUUCGUAAAGAGUUCCAUAUAUGG
rnacentral:snRNA from 1 species